CGUGCUCCAGCUUUACCGACCUGCUUCUUCCUCCAACCGCCGAACCAGCCAAGCCAAACCCUAGGGCGAGCUGACCGAGCCAGCAGCCACCGCCACAUCGCCCCUGCCUACUCCUCCGCCGCCGCGUCGCAUGGCCGAUUACGAGGAGCGCUACGAGGGAAACGGCGACCCCGCUGACCCCGCCGGCGCCAUCGCCGGGGGUUCACCCCCACCCCCGCCGACCAAGCCCACCGGGUUCUCCGACCACCCCGACGACGACGGCCGUUCCCAGCAGGAGGUACAGCCACACGAGGGAAGGUCCUCUAAAUCUAGAGAGAGGGACAGAGGACGAGACAAGGACAAGGAUAGGGAGCGUGACAGAGACCAUGGUAGAGAUAGAGAAAGGGGUCGGGACAAGGACAGGGAUCGGGGUGACAGGGAACGUGACCGCCACCAUAGGGAACACCGUGAAAGAAGUGAAAAAAGGGAGCACCGCGAGAGAAGUGAAAAAAGGGAGCACCGUGGUCGUUCUGAUGAUCAUGAUCGCCAUCAGAGCCGCGACCGUGAUGUUGAAAGAAGGGACCGUGAUAGAGAUGGCCAUCGCAGGCAUCGCUCGCGCUCCCGUUCAAAGGGUCGUGACCGCAGAUCUCGUUCACGCUCUCGUUCAAAGAGCAAGCGCGUGAGCGGAUUUGACCAGGGACCAUCACAAGGCGUUCCGUUAGUUACUCCUGGUGCGACCCCAGGUCAGCUACCUGCAGUUGCCCCCCUCAUUCCUGGGAUGCUUCCGAACAUGUUUAAUUUCACCGCACCUACGCAGUUCAACCCUCUUGCUAUGCAGCCACAGGCCAUGACACAACAGGCUACUCGGCAUGCUCGGCGUGUAUAUGUUGGUGGACUUCCUCCAACUGCUAAUGAACAGACCGUUGCUAUAUACUUCAAUCAAGUUAUGGCUGCUAUUGGAGGAAACACAGCUGGUCCUGGUGAUGCUGUUCUUAAUGUAUACAUAAACCAUGACAAGAAAUUUGCUUUUGUGGAGAUGAGGUCUGUGGAGGAAGCAAGCAACGCAAUGGCCUUGGAUGGUAUAAUGUUUGAGGGAGCACCAGUGAAAGUUAGAAGGCCAACUGACUACAAUCCUUCCUUGGCAGCUGCACUGGGCCCAAGCCAGCCAAACCCUAAUCUCAACCUUGGUGCUGUUGGCUUAACACCUGGUUCAGCUGGAGGUUUAGAAGGGCCUGACCGCAUUUUUGUGGGUGGCCUCCCCUAUUACUUCACUGAGGCUCAAGUGCGUGAGUUGCUUGAAUCCUUUGGACCACUGCGAGGAUUUGAUCUUGUCAAGGAUAGGGAGACUGGCAACUCGAAGGGAUAUGCAUUCUGUGUGUACCAGGAUCUUAAUGUCACUGACAUUGCCUGUGCUGCCCUCAAUGGUAUCAAGAUGGGAGACAAGACCCUCACUGUUAGGCGAGCAAACCAAGGUGCUUCUCAACCAAGGCCAGAGCAAGAAACCAUCCUGAUGCAGGCACAUCAACAGGUGCAGAUGCAGAGACUCGUGCUCCAAGUUGGGGGAGCCCUACCAACAAAGGUGGUAUGCCUUACCCAGGUGGUUUCAGCAGAUGAACUGAGAGAUGACGAGGAGUACGAAGACAUUUUGGAAGAUAUGAGGGAAGAAGGGCGCAAAUACGUCCACAUAAAUGCCAUUGCAGUCUUUUAUAGUCCGACCUCAUGCAAUAUUGGCAAUCGGGCUUAACCUACAGAAGACACACUAUUCUAUUUCAAAUGGAUUUGAUUAAUCAUAUAUGACUUCUUUACCAUGUAUAUAUGUACUCACUAACACUUGAACAGGUAACUUGGUGAAAGCUGUGAUCCCACGACCUGACCCCAGUGGCGCUCCUGUUCCUGGAGUUGGGAAAGUGUUUUUGGAAUAUUUAGAUGUUGAUGGCUCGACCAAGGCGAAGACCGGGAUGCAUGGAAGGAAGUUCGGCGGGAACCAGGUGGUUGCUGUGUUCUACCCUGAGAACAAGUUUGCAGAGGGAGACUAUGAUGCUUAGAUCAAAUCCUCGGCGUAGUUAACACCCGUAUGCAGUUAUUAUGCAGUUUUCGAAUUGAAUUGAAUCGGUUUUAUUUGUCUACGGAACCACCUGUCCGAUACUUGGUAUGUAUUUUAUUUGAGUGAAAGAUAUAAUUAUGGAUUUGAUUUUUCUGUUUGGAAAUGCAAGUUUAGGCUCCUUGACUGGAUUCAACACUCUGUAAUCUCAGGCCCGUAAAUAAAUAGACUUUGAGUAUCCA